AUGACUCUGACCUGCGUCCUCAUCUGGACUCUCCUCUGCUGCUGCUUCACAGAGUCCAGAGGCCAAGUCACAGUGACUCAGCCUGGAGCAGUGAGAUCAGCUGUGGGAAACUCCGCCACCAUCUCAUGCAGAACCAGUCAGAAUGUUUAUGUUAGUAGUAACUACCACUAUUUAGCCUGGUACCAACAGAGAGAUGGAGAAACUCCUAAACUGCUCAUUUACCGUGCUUCCACUCGAGCAUCAGGGAUUCCAGGUCGUUUUACAGGCAGUGGAUCAAACUCUGACUUCACUCUGACCAUCAGUGGAGUCCAGGCUGAAGAUGCUGCAGUUUACUACUGUCAGAGUUUUCAUGUUAUCAACAGUCAGUACGUGUUCACACAGUGAAAAAGCGUCGUACAAAAACCUCCGUCAGUCAGAAUGAACACAAAGUGAAGUG